GAGUUUGAUUCUGGCUCAGAACGAACGCUGGCGGCGUGGAUAAGACAUGCAAGUCGAACGGCCAACAAGGAAGCCUAGCGAAUUGUUGGCAGUGGCGAACGGGUGCGUAUCACGUGGAUAACAUUCCGGGAAGACAAAAAUAGCCCAGGGAAACUUGGGGUAAUAAUUGAUGUGCCCUCACGGGCAAAGACGGGACCGCAAGGCCUGUCGCUUCCUGAUUGAUCUGCGGCCUAUCAGCUAGUUGGCGAGGUAAUGGCUCACCAAGGCUACGACGGGUAGCUGGUCUUAGAGGAUGACCAGCCACACUGGAACUGAGAAACGGUCCAGACACCUACGGGUGGCAGCAGUCGAGAAUCUUUCACAAUGGGGGAAACCCUGAUGGAGUGACGCCGCGUGGAGGAUAAGGUCUUCGGAUUGUAAACUCCUGUCAUGCAAGAUCAAAGUGUUGGGGUUAAUAGCGCCAGCAACUGCUAGUAUUGCAAGAGGAAGAGGCGGCAAACUCUGUGCCAGCAGCCGCGGUAAUACAGAGGCCUCAAGCGUUGUUCGGAAUUACUGGGCGUAAAGGGUGUGUAGGCUGCGUGGAUAGUCAUUUGCAAAAUACCCAGGCUCAACCUGGGCUCCGCAAAUGAUACUGCCGCGCUAGAGUCUCAAAGGGGGGGUUGGAAUUCACGGAGUAGCAGUGAAAUGCGUAGAGAUCGUGAGGAACACCAAAGGCGAAGGCAGGCCCCUGGUUGAGAACUGACGCUGAGGCACGAAGGCCAGGGUAGCAAACGGGAUUAGAUACCCCGGUAGUCCUGGCAGUAAACGGUGCGCGCUUGGUUUAAGUUGGUUGGACCCAAUUUGAGCCGUAGCUAACGCGAUAAGCGCGCCGCCUGGGAAGUACGGUCGCAAGACUAAAACUCAAAGAAAUUGACGGGGACCCGCACAAGCGGUGGAGUAUGUGGCUUAAUUCGAUGCAACGCGAAGAACCUUACCUGGGCUUGACAUGCGGUGAAAACACAUUGAAAGAUGUGGUUGGAGCAAUCCAGUUGCCGCACAGGUGCUGCAUGGCUGUCGUCAGCUCGUGUCGUGAGAUGUUGGGUUAAGUCCCGCAACGAGCGCAACCCCUAUAGCUUGUUGCUAACCGUAAGGUGCACUCUAGCUAGACUGCCUAGAUUAACUAGGAGGAAGGUGGGGAUGACGUCAAGUCCUGAUGGCCCUUACGCUCAGGGCUGCACACGUACUACAAUGCUAAGCACAAUUAGAGCCUAAGUCGCGAGACAAGGGAAAUCACCAAAGCUUGGCCUAGUUCAGAUUGCAGGCUGCAACUCGCCUGCAUGAAGUUGGAAUCGCUAGUAAUGGCAUAUCAGCUACGGUGCCGUGAAUACGUUCCCGGGUCUUGUACACACCGCCCGUCACAUCAUGGAAAUUGGCAUUGCCCGAAGAGACUGUUUGUCCAUAAGGCAAAGCUGAUAACUGGGAU
rnacentral:rRNA from 1 species